rnacentral:tRNA from 1 species
GGCGACGUACCCAAGUGGCUAAGGGAGCGGUCUGCAAAACCGUUAUUCUCGGGUUCGAUUCCCGACGUCGCCUCCA